UCACCUUUCACUCAGCUACCCCCCUAUUGAGCCCAGUGACUUUGGUCGGACCAGGCGGUUCAGCCCUCGGAGCCUGGGGGCCAGAGGCAGAGACCAGGAGGGAGCGAGAUGCCCCUGCAGUGGCCGGGGAUUGAUUUGAUCCCUCCUGGCUCUGCCAAGCCCACCACCCACAGCCGUGUGCUGUUCUGAGGGGUGACUUCGCUAGCUGCCAGAUCUGGAUGGUGCUUUGUGGAACAGAUGAAAAGCAUGCAGGUUAAGACAGGAACAACAGGAAGUGACAGCAACACAGGAAGUGGAGAGAUGAACGUCAAAGGUAUUUAGACGCCUAACUCCCAUUCAGAUCCAGGUGCCUAAAUAACUUUUGCAAAGGAAAACCAGCUCUUUGUGCUGUCUGCAAACAUAUCGGUGCCUGUUUCAAUUAGAUUAAGUGGGAGAUGAAUGCAGAAAGAAAUCGGCCCCUACACAAAUUCUUAGGUGGCGAGAUCUUUGCUCAGCUGUGCAUCAAGUCACCCCCACCCCCUCCUCCUUCAUCUAAAGGCCAGAUGACCCUGCCCUGAAUCACAAUAACCUGCUACAAUAAGGAUUUCCUCGCAUGAUCUGACAGGGGACAAAGGGCUUUCACGCACCUGCCUUCUGAGACAGAAACUAGAACUCGGCCCCGGACAAACGGUGGUACCUAUGGAUGGAGUUCAGUUCUUAAUGCAUCUUAACAAACAGGCAAGCACUCAAGAGUUUCUACUUACUCACCAUUCAUCUACUCCAGUGAUGACUUAAAGGAUUGGAAAACCUGCCUUACAGUGAUAGACUCAAGGAGCUCAAUCUAACCAAGAAAAGCUAAGGGGUGACUUGAUCACUGCCUGAAAGUACUUGCGCGGGGAACAAAACUUUGAUAACGGGCUCUUCAAUCUGGCAGCCGAAGGUCUAAGAAGCUCGGCUGGCUGGAAACUAGACAAAUUCGGCCUAGACGCAAAGCGCAUGUUUAUAACAGUCCGGGUAAUUAACCACUGGAACAAUUUACCAAGAGCUGCGGUGGAUUCUCCGUCUCUAGCCAUUUUUAAUCAAGACUAGAUGUUUUUCUAAACUCGUACACACAGGAAUUGAUUCAAGGACGUCCUAUAGCCUGGGUUAUACAGGAGGUCAAACUAGAGGAUCUCUACUGGCUUUAUAAUCUAUGAAACCCUGAUAGAUUGGCUCUAGACCAAUAAAUAAUAUGGUUAUAACAGUGCAGAGCUAUGGUAAUAGAUAGGUUCUACAGAGACUAACCUACGGUUUUAUGACCUCUUGUUU